rnacentral:rRNA from 1 species
CCUACGGGGGGCAGCAGUGAGGAAUAUUGGUCAAUGGGCGCGAGCCUGAACCAGCCAAGUCGCGUGAGGGAAGACGGCCCUACGGGUUGUAAACCUCUUUUGCCGGGGAGCAACGGGCGCCACGUGUGGCGCCACUGAGAGUACCCGGAGAAAAAGCAUCGGCUAACUCCGUGCCAGCAGCCGCGGUAAUACGGAGGAUGCGAGCGUUAUCCGGAUUUAUUGGGUUUAAAGGGUGCGUAGGCGGAGCGUUAAGUCAGUGGUCAAAUUGAGGGGCUCAACCCCUUCCCGCCAUUGAAACUGGCGUGCUUGAGGGGAAUAGAAGGAUGCGGAAUGCGUGGUGGAGCGGUGGAAUGCAUAGAUAUCACGCAGAACCCCGAUUGCGAAGGCAGCAUGCCGGCUUCCUACUGACGCUGAAGCACGAAAGCGUGGGGAUCGAAAAGGAUUAGAUACCCCUGUAGUC